GCACAGAUCACGGGAGAAUCAGCCCAGCUGAUGCCGAAGGAGCAACCGCCCCGGAAACUCUCAGGCACAAGGACCGCGAUCUGACG
rnacentral:ncRNA from 1 species